rfam:Microgenomates (Woesebacteria) bacterium GW2011_GWB1_38_8 TT08_C0003, whole genome shotgun sequence.
GCCGAGGUGGCGAAAUUGGCAGACGCGCAGGAUUUAGGAUCCUGUGAGGGUUAUACCUUGUGGAGGUUCGAGUCCUCUCCUCGGCA